rnacentral:rRNA from 1 species
UACGGAGGGUGCGAGCGUUGUCCGGAAUCACUGGGCGUAAAGAGCGCGCAGGCGGUCGUUCAAGUCGCGUGUGAAAGCCCCCGGCUCAACUGGGGAGGGUCACGCGAUACUGAUCGACUCGAAGGCAGGAGAAGGUAGUGGAAUUCCCGGUGUAGUGGUGAAAUGCGUAGAUAUCGGGAGGAACACCAGUGGCGAAGGCGACUACCUGGCCUGUUCUUGACGCUGAGGCGCGAAAGCUAGGGGAGCAAACGGG